rnacentral:rRNA from 1 species
UACGUAGGGAGCAAGCGUUGUCCGGAUUUAUUGGGCGUAAAGCGCGUGUAGGCGGCCAUACAGGUCCGUUGUGAAAACUCGAGGCUUAACCUCGAGACGUCGAUGGAAACCGUAUGGCUAGAGUCCGGAAGAGGAGAGUGGAAUUCCUGGUGUAGCGGUGAAAUGCGCAGAUAUCAGGAAGAACACCCGUGGCGAAGGCGGCUCUCUGGGACGGUACUGACGCUGAGACGCGAAAGCGUGGGGAGCGAACAGG